ACUCUUUUCACAAAAAAUCUUAUGAUUAAAAUUGAUCGUAAGUUAAACUGAAAUGUGUAUGAAUUAAAUGGUUUCCAUGUUGAUUGAUCAACAGCAACUUCAGGGACAGAUUUGAAACAUAUUCUCUAAGGAUGACUGAAGCAAGCCUGGUUUUUUGUUCAUCCUGCCGUUUCUGAAUAGAUGUACGAUUAUAAUGAUGCUUACCAAAAGACAACAGGGACCCUUCCCUGGAAGACUGAACUAGUAAAGUAAAUUGUUAACAGUGGUAAAGCAAUAUUUUGUUGAAUAAUAAUUAAAAAAAGUCAGAGAUAUGUGUGUGCAUGUGUAAAAAUCCGUAAAGGGUUCCACAGAACCCUGUGUCUUGCCUGUGAUUGCUGCGGUCAGUGUAAAAGUAUAAAUGUUGACUUAAAAAGUGAGUUUAUCUUUUUCUUUAGAUGCUAAUUCUUGGUCUUGAAGAUUAGCUUCUGUCCAAGUUUCAUAACAAUCCAUGAAGGUUUACAAAUUUAUCAUGUCAAAAAAAU